rnacentral:rRNA from 1 species
GACGAACGCUGGCGGCGUGCCUAAUACAUGCAAGUAGAACGCUGAAGAGAGGAGCUUGCUCUUCUUGGAUGAGUUGCGAACGGGUGAGUAACGCGUAGGUAACCUGCCUUGUAGCGGGGGAUAACUAUUGGAAACGAUAGCUAAUACCGCAUAACAAUGGAUGACACAUGUCAUUUAUUUGAAAGGGGCAAUUGCUCCACUACAAGAUGGACCUGCGUUGUAUUAGCUAGUAGGUGAGGUAAUGGCUCACCUAGGCGACGAUACAUAGCCGACCUGAGAGGGUGAUCGGCCACACUGGGACUGAGCCACGGCCCAGACUCCUACGGGAGGCAGCAGUAGGGAAUCUUCGGCGAUGGGGGCAACCCUGACCGAGCAACGCCGCGUGAGUGAAGAAGGUUUUCGGAUCGUAAAGCUCUGUUGUAAGUCAAGAACGGGUGUGAGAGUGGAAAGUUCACACUGUGACGGUAACUUACCAGAAAGGGACGGCUAACUACGUG